GUGGCUGGGUGAGGGAGGGAGAGGGAAGGGGGAGGCUGGGUGAGGCUGGGUGAGGGAGGGAGAGGGAAGGGGGAGGCUGGGGGAGGCUGGGUGAGGCUGGGUGAGGCUGGGUGAGGCUGGGUGAGGGAGGGAGAGGGAAGGGGGAGGCUGGCUGAGGCUGGGUGAGGGAGGGAGAGGGAAGGGGGAGGCUGGGUGAGGCUGGGUGAGGGAAGGGGGAGGCUGGGUGAGACUGGUUUAGGCUGGGUGAGGGAAGGGUGAGGCUGGGUGAGUCUCAUUAGGUCAUUAGUUUAGGCUGGGUGAGG
ensembl:lncRNA